UGUAAGAGAACUAACUCUCCACAUGCCUCAG
rnacentral:piRNA from 1 species